GACGAACGCUGGCGGCGUGCUUAACACAUGCAAGUCGAACGGAAAGGCCUGCUUUCCCUUGUGGAUUGCGGGUACUCGAGUGGCGAACGGGUGAGUAACACGUGAGUGAUCUGCCCCCAACUUGGGUAUAAGCCUGGGAAACUGGGUCUAAUUCCCGAUAGGACUGCAGGGUGGUGCCUGUGGUGGAAAACGAUUUUCUAGUGGUUGGGGAUGAGCUCGCGGCCUAUCAGCUUGUUGGUGGGGUAAUGGCCUACCAAGGCGGCGACGGGUAGCCGGCCUGAGAGGGUGGACGGCCACAUUGGGACUGAGAUACGGCCCAGACUCCUACGGGAGGCAACAGUGGGGAAUAUUGCACAAUGGGCGGAAGCCUGAUGCAGCGACGCCGCGUGGGGGAUGACGGCCUUCGGGUUGUAAACUCCUUUCGACCGCGAGGAAGCCACCUGGUUGGAAGGGUGGUGACGGUAGUGGUAGAAGAAGCACCGGCUAACUACGUG
rnacentral:rRNA from 1 species